rnacentral:rRNA from 1 species
UACGGAAGGGGGCUAGCGUUGCUCGGAAUCACUGGGCGUAAAGCGCACGUAGGGCGGACUCUUAAGUCAGGGGUGAAAUCCUGGAGCUCAACUCCAGAACUGCCUUUGAUACUGGGAGUCUUGAGUCCGGAAGAGGUAAGGUGGAACUGCGAGUGUAGAGGUGAAAUUCGUAGAUAUUCGCAAGAACACCAGUGGCGAAGGCGGCUUACUGGUCCGGUACUGACGCUGAGGUGCGAAAGCGUGGGGAGCAACAGGG